rnacentral:rRNA from 1 species
GUGCCAGCAGCCGCGGUAACACGGAGGGGGCUAGCGUUGUUCAGAAUUACUGGGCGUAAAGCGCACGUAGGCGGAUCAGAAAGUUGGGGGUGAAAUCCCGGGGCUCAACCUCGGAACUGCCUUCAAAACUAUUGGUCUUGAGUUCGAGAGAGGUGAGUGGAAUUCCGAGUGUAGAGGUGAAAUUCGUAGAUAUUCGGAGGAACACCAGUGGCGAAGGCGGCUCACUGGCUCGAUACUGACGCUGAGGUGCGAAAGCGUGGGGAGC